rnacentral:rRNA from 2 species
ACGGGAGGCAGCAGUGGGGAAUAUUGCACAAUGGAGGAAACUCUGAUGCAGCGACGCCGCGUGAGUGAAGAAGUAGUUCGCUAUGUAAAGCUCUAUCAGCAGGGAAGAUAGUGACGGUACCUGACUAAGAAGCUCCGGCUAAAUACGUGCCAGCAGCCGCGGUAAUACGUAUGGAGCAAGCGUUAUCCGGAUUUACUGGGUGUAAAGGGAGUGUAGGUGGCCAUGCAAGUCAGAAGUGAAAAUCCGGGGCUCAACCCCGGAACUGCUUUUGAAACUGUAAGGCUAGAGUGCAGGAGGGGUGAGUGGAAUUCCUAGUGUAGCGGUGAAAUGCGUAGAUAUUAGGAGGAACACCAGUGGCGAAGGCGGCUCACUGGACUGUAACUGACACUGAGGCUCGAAAGCGUGGGGAGCAAACAGGAUUAGAUACCCUGGUA